rnacentral:tRNA from 1 species
AAUAUAGUGCCUGAAUUUUAAGGAUAGCUUUGAUAGAGCUAAUUAUGUGGGACUCCUACCUAUAUUA